UAGAUACCCCACUAUGCCCAGCCAUAAACCUUGAUACUCUCAUACAAUUAGUAUCCGCCAGGGAACUACGAGCACCAGCUUAAAACCCAAAGGACUUGGCGGUGCCUCAGACCCCCCUAGAGGAGCCUGUUCUAGAACCGAUAACCCCCGUUAAACCUCACCACUUCUUGCCUAUUCCGCCUAUAUACCACCGUCGCCAGCUUACCCUGUGAAGGGAAAAAAGUAAGCAAAAUGGAAACUUUCCAAAACGUCAGGUCGAGGUGUAGCAUACGAAGUGGGAAGAAAUGGGCUACAUUACCUGAUACAGGAUAUUCACGGAAAGUCACCUGAAACGGUAAUUCAAAGGUGGAUUUAGCAGUAAAAGA
rnacentral:rRNA from 1 species